AUGAAACCUAACAUUUCAAUAAACCCUAAGCCUUCUUCCUACAGUGCUUGCUUCCAAUAUUUAUGGACAGUAAAUGUCUUCCCAGGCAUCCUUCUCUCGUACCAGGACAUCGCCUGCAGCGGUUUCCCGAGGUUCCCCGUGUGUGUUCUCUCCACAUCAGCACCAAGGAGGAAAGACCUGGGGACAACGUGCAGAAAAGAGCAAUUCCACAUCCUUUGGGACAAGGGGUUAGGCUUUGCCUUGUGUCAGAGGUCCUGGACAGCCUUCAGAAGAGAUCCAGAACUCCAGCAUGCCUGCACACAGACAUUUACUGGCAAGCCACAGUGGAAGCAAAAUCACAUUCAAGUGCACUUUAUGCAGCUACAGCCCUAAGGACAUGCAGGUAAGACUCCAAAAUGCCAGGUUUGGGUCACAAUUACAUCACUGCUGCACAGAACACCUUCAUCACAUCUGAUUUUAACACUGACAAAAGAGCAAAACACACCAUCCCAUUUAAUAUUUGUUCAAGUGAACGUUAAAAGUUUUCCACAAUAACUUCUCCAUCCAGAGCACAAAAUAGCUGUGCUAACACAGAAGCUCAGGAGGCAAUUAGAUAGUCUGAGAGGAUUUUUGUGAUAAACCAUCUGAAAACUUUUUCUACACUACACAAACAUACUUUUCAUGAUAAUACAUUAUGUUAUUUCCAGUGAAGUAGUCUCAUUUGAGGUGCAUGUUUGAUAAGAGAGCAUUUUUCAAUUACAAGAAUAUCAUGAUAAGAAAACAAAUAUGUGUUAGUUGAAAAAGGCCAAAGGGGCAUGAAAUUUUCAUUCAGCUUUUAAAAGGAAGGAAACUGAGUAUUCUAAGUAAACUGGACCACAUUUUAGAAGGUGGUGACUACUCAGAAAGUAUUAAGAGUUAAGUUCAGCCUCUAAAGACUGCUGACAUUCUUGAUCAGAAGUCUGCAGGGGUGGUAGGUUGUCUUUGGAAUUUUUUUUUAAAAAACAGUAGCAGGCAAAAAUUUCCUAAUACUGACUCUUUUUUUACUCCUAGACCAAAGCUCCUGUCAGCACACACACAGAAUGUGAGCCUCAGCUUGUCAUUUGGGCUGAUAUUCCCUUGCCUUCUCCCAUUGCUGAAACCACUUGUAUUUCUGCAUUUCCCCCUCUGUAACACUUGCCCCAGAACUGGCUCACCAAAGCUAACCUCAGGAGGAUCUGCCCAUUUGCUGCAAACACAGAUAGGAAAUAUUUACUGAUAUUUAAGUGCCUGUGAGUGCCAGUUAUUCUGAUACCAGUUGUGAAUAUUUUGCUGCAGAUGACAAGUGCACUCAUUCCAAUUCAAAAUACACCACACCAAAGGCUACAUUCUUAUUUUCAGCAUCUGUUAAUAAGGGGUUUCUGUGCAUCAUAUUUUUCUGAUUUACCAUUCUUUCUAGUUUUCUAUAUUCUCCUAGACAUUGUUCAGCUAUAUAACAAGUAUCACUUGAGUUAGAUGCUCUGGAAAGGAUCACAAUUAAAGAGGAGAUUCUAAAAAUAUGUUCCAAACAUGGCUACAGAAACAGUGACAAUCACAAAAAGGAUCUUGCCAGCAAAAUUGGAUGCUGAGACCUUUCUAAACAGUAGAAGUACAACAGAAGCACUGCAAAGACAAGAAUUAGAAGUUACUGUGUGGAUGGCACUUUCCAAAACAGGUCUUGUGUUUAAGCAUUUUUGCUGACCAUAUCUCAUCAGAUCUGGCAGCCAUUCAGAGAGAGCUUCUUUUACUGAGAGAUGAAGAAAGAUCAUCACACUAGAGAAGUGAAUAACCUUGGUUUUUACUGUUCCUCAUGUGCCCUUUUUAUCUGGGUACACAUUACAUGAAAAAAAUACCACCAAACCUAUAUCAAAGGUAACUUUAAAUUUGUGGCAGGUAUCCCUUUUUUAAUCUGCCUUACUUUCCUGUUCUUAGAGUCCAAAGGCCAGCUGAAUUACUUGGAAGCCACAUUGGCUGUGUGAGAUACCUGAUCCUUCUGCCUGCAGCUGAGUGCAGUGUGCCACCUCCAUUUCUCUAACCUGUGUGAAUUGUGCCUAGGCACUUCAAUGUUGGAUUUCUGUGUAUUUAGCAAGGAAAGUUAAAGAAAAAGCCUCUCUUGCACACAUUUUUUUUAGCAGAGAGACAGAUGUAUUCAAAGUUUCAGCUCAGACUUGAACCAGUUCAUAUUAAAACCAUUUUAUUGUUCCAUAGCAUGGCUUCCUCUGCUUGGACUCACAAUCAAUACUCCUGUCAAGAGUGGCCAACUUAAAUAAUUCUUCUUGAGAGUAAAGCUUUCAGUAUUAAAUCCUUGACUGAAUUUUCCUGGGAGAGAUUGAAUCACACAGAGCUUUCAUCAUCUGGAAAGAUCUGAGAAGAAUAUUGUGUAUCAUAUCCAAGCUCCCACAAGUCAGGCUUUACUGGUGGUGUUUCAGAGCCUGUCUGUUCACUCAGACUUCAGACUGUCUGCAGAAGUGGUCAUUUACUCUAUGGAAAAGCAUUCGUGGAAGAUGAAUAUUACCCAAGUCAAAUUAGCUUGAGGGCCAGCACCUUCUCUCCUCUCUCAGUUCCUGUGGGACCCUUGCAGUGAGGCUUUCCAGGAGAAAUGUGGUUAUAAAAACCUGUCCCUUGGUUGUUAACUCCACUGGGGCUGCUGAUCCACGCUGCUCUUUUACCCCAGCACAAUGCCUUGCACUGUUCAGGGCACAGUAGAAUCAUCAAAUUAUUAAAGAUUACUACAUGAGUCAGAGGUACAGGGAAAUUGAGUUUUCCAGCAGAUUUUGCUGUGCCCAGUGUUUUACCCAGAAAUAGCACCUGUACUGCUCCUGUUUUUUAAAAACUGAGCAGAAAUUCCUCUGGCAUGAACCAUGGUUUAUACACCACCUUUCUGACCCCUCCUGGUGCUGCACUGUUAGAGCAAUAGCCACCACAAAAACAGUGUAAAACAAAGUUGACAACUCCAAAAGGAAACAAAGAACUGGCACAAACACAUUGAGGAAAGGGUGAGUUCAAGUGGAAGUUUGGCUUGAGGCCGGACAAACACACGAGUUUGCAGACAAGCAUCCAAAUGCAGCCUUUAUUAUUUUUUAUCUUCCUGGAAGAUGGGAAGGUGAGGGACAGCUCAGAGAUGAUACAAAACUUGCUGCAGAGUAUUCUCAUGUUACCCAUUGAGCACAGGCAGCAGCUUCUGGGAGCCCCCUGCCAGGUGUUUGGGUAGGAUCCCCAGACACCCAGUAAAUGGCACUGGAUAAAUGGAUAAAUCCCCUUCCCUGGAAGCAGCACACAGAUUUGGGUACCAAGGCUGUACCUGCAGCCAGGCCCUCUGGGUACUCAGAGCUUUGGAAGAGUGUCCUGCUGCUCUGGCUGCGUUUGUGGGCAGCCCUCUCCCCCCUGGGGAAGGGUGAGUUAACCUAAAGCACCUUACCACAGUCCUCAUCCUACUCCUUGGCAAAGUCUCCCAUUCCUUCAGUCACAGGCAGCUCAGCAGAAGAGAUUUAUGCCUCUCCCAAACAGCACAAUAGAAAUAGCAACAAAGAUGCUGCAACAGUUGCCAUAACAACUGCUUUUAACUGGAAGAGGAGCAAGGAAUACAAUUCCUUUUCAUCCACAAACUAACAAUGUGUUCAUUAUUGCAAAGCAGACCUUUGUAAAGAGCUGAAUUCUAUUAAAGUUGUUACCCUAUUUUAGAUCUGUCUUUUAUGCUUCAGAAUAAUAACAAUUCUAAUUAAUACCUUAGGUUCUGGCAUAUCCUUCUCCAACUUCCUGCCCACAUAUAAAACCCAAGGUUUUUUUUGACAAAAUUACUGAAACAGAGAUAACAUCAGCUUAGAUGUAGAAAACAUCACCUGUAAUUCACAGGCAGUUUGAGACCAUGUUUGUCUUAAAGAUAAGUUAUAGUGAUCAGUAACAGCACAAUGCAGCAGUGACCACAGAGAUCAAAAUAUUUUCCUUUAUCUCAUUAUUCACCAGUCUGUAAAAAGGGGACAGGGGCUGAAUUUCACAUAUGUUGUCAUUUUGGAAGACUGCACUUGUUUCAGUCCUCUCUACACAAACAGGGACAGCUACCACAGCACUGCUUUGGGCUGAAACACCUGCUGGGGACCAGGAAGGAAGAGCCACCCUCAGCUGUGGCUGCAGACACUUGCACAGGGCCAGAGAGAGAAGAGAAAAAGAGUUCUUGCCAAAGGGUGCAAGACACACAGGGGUGACCAAUCUGUGCUUCAAAGUGCAGCACCUUGCAUGAGAUACCUGGAGUGACAGACUCAGAUCAGAAAAUAAAUCCCAAUUCCAAAGGUAGGAGGGAUUCUCC
rnacentral:lncRNA from 1 species